ensembl:lncRNA
AAACAGUCGAGCGACAGAUAAGGACAGCAGUUUAUCAUCCAGACCUGACUAAUCAAGAUAUUAUAGUGUGAAGUAAGUGCUCUCGUAUCUCAUUUGCCACCAAAACAUAAUAUUACGUAUAUAACACCAGCAGCCACUGGAAAACCAUAUCACUCAACAUCUGUGUAGUUUGUAGUUAAUCUGAGCAAGUCAAAGAGGAAACCAGUCAUCAACAGCAGCUCUCCGUUUCCAGUGUUUCAUGCUGUUUAUACAGUCUUCCUCUGAUUCCACAGUGCAGAAUGAGUGCAAAUGAUGUGUGUCAGUCAACAGAUUGUUCAGGAGAAAGAGUUGAGAUAAGGCUUUCCUAUGAGCCAGAAUCACUGUGUUCCUGAGCAGCUGCGCCGGGAAACAUGUCACAUCUUGCUGUGGGGAGUAUCUGAUCUGGAUACAUGACGAGUCAAACGAGGAUCUCAGAAGCCGUUGUUGGGUGGAGGAUUUUAAUGAUCAUGUAUUCAGAGGUUAUAAAUAGUAAAGCGCUCUCAGGACAGUCGUUUACAUGCAUAUCUUCAUGUCUUUAAAAGUUUAUUACUUACGUUUGCUAAGACAAAGAUUACUGUUAUUCACAGGGACUGUGAUUUGCUCAAACCUCUC